AACGGCAGCACGGAGCUUGCUCUGGUGGCGAGUGGCGAACGGGUGAGUAAUAUAUCGGAACGUACCCUGGAGUGGGGGAUAACGUAGCGAAAGUUACGCUAAUACCGCAUACGAUCUACGGAUGAAAGUGGGGGAUCGCAAGACCUCAUGCUCGUGGAGCGGCCGAUAUCUGAUUAGCUAGUUGGUAGGGUAAAAGCCUACCAAGGCAUCGAUCAGUAGCUGGUCUGAGAGGACGACCAGCCACACUGGAACUGAGACACGGUCCAGACUCCUACGGGAGGCAGCAGUGGGGAAUUUUGGACAAUGGGCGCAAGCCUGAUCCAGCAAUGCCGCGUGAGUGAAGAAGGCCUUCGGGUUGUAAAGCUCUUUUGUCAGGGAAGAAACGGUGGGAGCUAAUAUCUCCUGCUAAUGACGGUACCUGAAGAAUAAGCACCGGCUAACUACGUGCCAGCAGCCGCGGUAAUACGUAGGGUGCAAGCGUUAAUCGAAAUUACUGGGCGUAAAGCGUGCGCAGGCGGUUUUGUAAGUCUGAUGUGAAAUCCCCGGGCUCAACCUGGGAAUUGCAUUGGAGACUGCAAGGCUAGAAUCUGGCAGAGGGGGGUAGAAUUCCACGUGUAGCAGUGAAAUGCGUAGAUAUGUGGAGGAACACCGAUGGCGAAGGCAGCCCCCUGGGUCAAGAUUGACGCUCAUGCACGAAAGCGUGGGGAGCAAACAGGAUUAGAUACCCUGGUAGU
rnacentral:rRNA from 1 species